UACGAAGGGGGCUAGCGUUGCUCGGAAUCACUGGGCGUAAAGCGUGCGCAGGCGGUUGUGCAAGACCGAUGUGAAAUCCCCGGGCUUAACCUGGGAAUGGCAUUGGUGACUGCACGGCUAGAGUGUGUCAGAGGGGGGUAGAAUUCCACGUGUAGCAGUGAAAUGCGUAGAGAUGUGGAGGAAUACCGAUGGCGAAGGCAGCCCCCUGGGAUAACACUGACGCUCAUGCACGAAAGCGUGGGGAGCAAACAGG
rnacentral:rRNA from 1 species